rnacentral:lncRNA from 8 species
GAAGAAUGAAAGACAAAAAGCAAAAAAACUACAUAGAGAUACUUGACAAGACCAGAUCAUGUUAUGUCAUGCACUCUAUGCAGAUGGUGGAUAAGAGUUGUACUUCUGGGGUUUGCUGAAGGAGAGGUGAAGUGGCUUGGUGAAAGGAAGAAAGCGGUUUGUUUUUUCCGUGUGUUGUGCGCUCAUAUAUACACAGACAAAACUUCAACAUGCACAGACCCACACAUCAGUGAUUCUCUGAGCUCGGUCAAGGCAAUGCAAUUUUACUGUAGGAGGAUGGAAGAGUGUGAGCCACGUUUUCAUCAAAAAGCCAUUAAAGAGAAGCUGAUGGAGGGAGGGAGUGGAGAAGAGGAGGCGGGCUGGUCUAAUAACACACUACCUGGGUGAAGAUUGCAUUUAAUCGUAGGCAGACGUGGCGGUACG